rnacentral:rRNA from 1 species
ACCGCCCGUCACACCAUGGGAGCGGGUUUCACCAGAAGCAGGUAGCCUGACCGCAAGGAGGGCGCUUUCCACGGUGUGGUCAAUGACUGGGGUG